UUGAAACAGGUGAUGUCAACAGGUGAUUGUAAUGAUACAGAAGCAGCAUCCAGGAAGAUGCAUCCAACAAAUGGGCUGAGUUUGAGCGAGGAUGCCAGAGCUGGAGAUGUGGUGCAAUGAGGACGACCCCCUGCCCUGGUGCCCUUAAGCAGGCUCACUUGUGGGUCCCGGAUGUGUAAGAGGAGAACAGGAGGUAGAGCAUUCAGCUACCAGGCUCCUCUCCUGUAGAACCAGCUCCCACUCUGGCUUCUGGAGGCAGAAUCCAUCUCUGUAUAUCAGGCUGUGAUGCAACACUGACUGCACCACGGGAUGAGACUCAAACAGUGACUCUGAUGACCCCACCGAUCCCUGAAGCCAUCAUCUGCACACAACAUCCUGAAAACUU